rnacentral:rRNA from 1 species
AUUGAACGCUGGCGGCAGGCCUAACACAUGCAAGUCGAACGCGUGGCGGACGGGUGAGUAAUGUCUGGGAAACUGCCCGGUGGAGGGGGAUAACUACUGGAAACGGUAGCUAAUACCGCAUACCAUCGGAUGUGCCCAGAUGGGUUUAGCUAGUAGGUGGGGUAGAGGCCUACAAAGGCGACGAUCCGUAACUGGUCUGAGAGGAGGAUCAGACAAACUGGAACUGAGACACGGUCGAGACCACGACGGUGGGCAGCAUUGGGGAAUGUUGGACAAUGGGCGAAAGCCUUAUCCAGCCAUGCCGCGUGUGUGAAGAAGGUUUUCGGAGUGUAAAGCAUUUUAAGUUGGGAGGCGUAACCAACAGAAUAAGCACCGGUUAACUUCGUGCCAGCCGCCGCGGUAAUC